rnacentral:rRNA from 1 species
GGGAGGCAGCAGUAGGGAAUCUUCCGCAAUGGGCGAAAGCCUGACGGAGCAAUGCCGCGUGAGUGAUGAAGGUUUUCGGAUCGUAAAGCUCUGUUGCCAGGGAAGAACGUCCGGUAGAGUAACUGCUACCGGAGUGACGGUACCUGAGAAGAAAGCCCCGGCUAACUACGUGCCAGCAGCCGCGGUAAU